rnacentral:lncRNA from 1 species
AAUGAGUCAUAAAAAUGAGCAGAAAUUGGGUAGUAAAAUAAAAAAACUUUUAAAUAUUGGAUAGUUGGAUCAAAAUGAAUCAUAAUUCAGAUAAGUUUUAUACAUUUUAACUUUUUAUUUAUACUAAACCUUCCAAGAGAUUUUGCGGGAAUCAAUUUUUAUCUUUAAUUCAGAUAAAUUUUAUACAUUUAAAAUGAUGAAAUUGAUUCUGCGGGAAUCAGCUUUAAAUAGCUUCUGAUUUUGGGACCCUAAAAAUCAGUUUUCUGAGUCUGAAAAGUAGAAUCAGUUUUUUCAAUGGUUGCUGUCAAACGUGCUGUAGAACAUAAAUCACUUUUAGACCCAAAAUCACUUUUCAAAAAACUAGGCCAAACACCAAAUGGUGCCAAUACUUUUUGCUACAAAAAUAGUUGCUAACUUUAGAUGCAAUUAAGAGCACAUUAAAUUUCUAACUUUGGAUAUUUAUUUAUAUAGAUAUAUAUACUUUGCUAAAUAAAUGGUGGCUAACUUUAGGUACAAUUAAGAGCAUAUUAAAUUUCAAUUUUUGGAUAUUUAAUAAUAUCUAUACUUUGCUACACAAAUGAUAGCUAAUUUCAGGUACAAUUACUGUCGAAUCGUUGGCACUAACCAUUAAUCCCAAAAUCUCGAACUGUUAGAAAUAAGCAACUAAUUCAUUUAAAGCGUACAGAUACAGUACCCGCGGGUCUCAAUUGGGACUCUGCCCAAUCAGGCUCACGCCAUUUCGAACAUGACUUGGCCCGCCUCAGCCUUACGCCAUUUUGAACAUGACUCGGCUCAACAUGACCUACACUACAGGGCAGGAUGCUGGCCCAUUUAAGCCGACAAUUACGAGCAUAUUACAUUUCUAAUUUUGCGUAUAUAUUAAUAUUUAUACUUUGCUACUCAUACGGUAGCUAACUUAAGCUUAGUUGGUAAAUUUAGAAUCUUUUAUUUAAUUUAAGAAAAUUUUAUGAUUUCAACUCUCUAUGGAUAAUAUUGAUGAAAAAUAUGGAAAUAAUAAUAAUAAUA